CUUAUUUGGAAUAUCUGUCCAGUUCAAAAAUGGCUCCAGUGGUUAGAGACGGAUGAUGGCACGGCAGAAUGGCUUUAUGGAAACUUCAAGCAUAUGACAGCUUAAUUUUCUUCCACAAGGCUGUGAGACCAGUUUGCAGGUGAUGCUAAAGUUAUCAGAUCUACAACACCAGUUGACAUACAGCCAACACUUAGUGUCUAGUUCAUUGUCAAAAGAAAUGUUUGUGCCUCUUUUGUUACAACAGCUGGCUUAUUUGGAAUAUCUGUCCAGUUAAAAAAUGGCUCCAGUGGUUAGAGACGGAUGAUGGCAUGGCAGAAUGGCUUUAUGGAAACUUCAAGCAUAUGACAGCUUAAUUUUCUUCCACAAGGCUGUGAGACCAGUUUGCAGCCUUAGGUCAUGCUCCCCAUCAUAUGUCCCAUGCAAGCCCAACCCAGAAAAUGCACAGCUAACAUUCACGGUGAUGCUAAAGUUAUCAGAUCUACAGCACCAGUUGACAUACAGCCAACACUUAGUGUCUAGUUACUUGUCAAAAGAAAUGUUUGUGCCUCUUUUGUUACAACAGAUCUAGCAAUGUGAAGCGAGGGGCCAUAAUGUAUAAAGAGAGAUCUUCACCUCCAACUGCGUCUGCUGAAGAAAUGCUUCUGUCCAAUCACUAGACUACUGGCAAAUGAGAGAAGGUGUAGAAUGUUGACAAAAACCUCACAUCCAGGCUGCAAGUUGGUUAUCCGGUCAAGCUGCUGUUUGCUGCAUGAAAAGGACACAUCUGCUGCUCAAGAUCUGCUACACAAGAUGAGAUUUCGCUGGGACCACAUUCAAGUAUGGCAAGGAUUCAACCAGAUUCAUCAGUCCUCAGACGUGUUUAGAACGCCACAUUGGUAUAUGAUAUGUGUUUUAACAGCUGGAGUCCGUGUGUUUUGCGUAAAAGCUGCUCUCACAACUCGUGUACCCAUGGAAAGGGAUUGUCCUUGGCGUUCCUGUUUGAACUAUAAACCUGGCUAUUUAAUAAAAUGCUGAUUAUCUGUUCUAUUAAUAAAGCUGUGACUGAUCUUA